UUUGUAGCAUCAUGUUUUGCCCGUGCCUUAAAAAAAAAGUUUAAGUUCCUAUAGCAAAUAUUCAUUAUCUAAAGCAACAUACAAUCAUAAAUUUCUCCUUCUUUCUUUCAUUUUCUUUUAUAAUUUACUUAUUCUCCAAGAUACCUUUUCAACAAUACACUCGGCAGCUGAGAAAAUCAACCCCAUAACUGCAAAUGCCUUACAAGAACUCCAACU
rnacentral:misc_RNA from 1 species